UUACUCUGGUUUCUCUUCAGAUCGCAUGUUUUGUCUUUUACUAAAGGUUUCUGUGGAGAAGAACAUUUAUGAGUGUUUCGUGAAUUUUUUGAGGUCAGACAAAAGCAGAUAC